UACAGAGGGUGCGAGCGUUGUUCGGAAUUAUUGGGCGUAAAGGGCGCGUAGGCGGUGCGGUAAGUCACCUGUGAAAUCUCCUGGCUCAACUGGGAGCUUGCAGGCGAAACUGCCGUGCUGGAGUGUGGGAGAGGUGCGUGGAAUUCCUGGUGUAGCGGUGAAAUGCGUAGAUAUCAGGAGGAACACCAAUGGCGAAGGCAGCACUCUGGGACGUGACUGACGCUGAGACGCGAAAGCGUGGGGAGCAAACAGG
rnacentral:rRNA from 1 species